GUUUUUGCGACCUCAGAGCAGCAUCAGCAGCAAUGGCGCCGGCAAAGAAGACGAAGAAGACGACGGAGAACAUCAACAACAAGCUUGCUCUGGUGAUGAAGAGCGGCAAGUUCACGCUCGGCUACAAGACCGUCCUCAAGUCCCUCAGGAGCUCCAAAGGUAAGUUGGUAAUUAUUGCCAACAACUGCCCACCGCUGCGCAAGAGUGAGAUCGAGUACUAUGCUAUGUUGUCGAAAAUUGUAGUGCACCAUUUCAAUGGGAAUAAUGUUGAUCUGGGAACUGCUUGCGGGAAGUACUACAGGGUCUGCUGCCUUAGUAUCAGUGAUCCAGGUGAUUCUGACAUCAUCAAGAGUCUCCCAGGGGACCAGUGAGACCUCGAGAGCCAGAACUGUAGCGAGAAUUUGUGAGCUAGAAUUGUGCUGUUGGUAGGCUUGUGAUUUCUUGUCCGAGAACUGUUUUUGGGUAGACUUUUAAUGAGUCUGUUUAAGAUAUUAAAUUGUGGUCAGUGAGGACUUCUAAAAAUGUUUGAAUGAUUUGCCAGUAUUUGAAGUUUCUCUGUUGUAUUCUG
rnacentral:misc_RNA from 1 species